GAUAUUAGGGUCAAAAAUUCAAAAAGUCGUUCGUGCUUGCACGAUAAGACUUUUGAACCUGGAACCCGCCAAACAUGAGAAAGUAGCGAUUUACGCAGUAAAUCAGCGGAUUUCGAAUGUUUGAGAAUUGUGCAAGCUGCUUUGCAGCGGAGCAAUUCGUGA
rnacentral:sRNA from 1 species